GCAGCCUGAUGCAGCACGCCGCGUGCGGGAUGACGGCCCUAGGGUUGUAAACCGCUUUCAGCAGGGAAGAAAAUGACGGUACCUGCAGAAGAAGGUGCGGCCAACUACGUGCCAGCAGCCGCGGUGACACGUAGGCACCAAGCGUUAUCCGGAUUUAUUGGGCGUAAAGAGCUCGUAGGCGGUUUGGUAAGUCUGGUGUGAAAACUCAAGGCUUAACCCUGAGACGCCACCCGAUACUGCUAUGACUUGAGUUCGGUAGGGGAGCGGGGAAUUCCUGGUGUAGCGGUGAAAUGCGCAGAUAUCAAGAAGAACACCAGUGGCGAAGGCGCCGCUCUGGGCCGUAACUGACGCUGAGGAGCGAAAGCGUGGGUAGCAAACAGGAUUAGAUACCCUGGUAGUCCACGCCGUAAACGUUGGGCACUAGGUGUGGGUGUCAGCUAACGAAAUCCGCGCCGUAGCUAACGCAUUAAGUGCCCCGCCUGGGGAGUACGGUCGCAAGACUAAAACUCAAAGGAAUUGACGG
rnacentral:rRNA from 1 species